rnacentral:rRNA from 1 species
AUGACUACCAUCUACAUGAGCCAUCUAUCUACUCUCCCUCUAAUGGAUGGAGAUCAAGAUCAAGGGCACUUUCAAGCCUUUCAUCUACCCAAAGAUCCUCCUAUCUUGUUCCCUUUCAUGAUCGACAACCCAGUGGAGCAUCAAGGGCAAGGCUAUGGAGACCAGCACUCGAGGCAGCAAUUUUUUGGUGAAUCUAAUCAGCAGUUCAAUGAUCACAUGAUGAUGAGCGGAGGAUCUGCGGACGUCUUUGCCACAUGCUCCCCGUUCGGACCUACCAUCCAAAGCGUCGGCAGUGACAUGAUCCAGAGAUCCUCAUACAAUUCCUAUGAUUUCGAAGCCACACAUGCCGGCGAUGGAUCGACUAGCCAGUGGGCAUCCGCCAAACCGCCAGUGAAGAUGAGGAUCAUGAAAAAGGCGCCAACGAAUGAUCACCAAGGAGGGACAGCGAGAAAGCCAAGGAGAAGGGCACAAGCACACCAAGGUGAUGAGAGCCAGCAGCUGCAGCAUCCCAUGGGUGUUAUCAGAGUGUGCUCAGACUGCAACACCUCCAAUACCCCCUUGUGGAGGAGUGGUCCUUGUGGCCCCAAGGUGAAAUAUAUUGCUAACUAG